UGGGGAAUAUUGGACAAUGGGCGCAAGCCUGAUCCAGCCAUGCCGCGUUAGUGAUGAAGGCCCUAGGGUUGUAAAGCUCUUUCACCGGUGAAGAUAAUGACGGUAACCGGAGAAGAAGCCCCGGCUAACUUCGUGCCAGCAGCCGCGGUAAUACGAAGGGGGCUAGCGUUGUUCGGAUUUACUGGGCGUAAAGCGCACGUAGGCGGACUAUUAAGUCAGGGGUGAAAUCCCGGGGCUCAACCCCGGAACUGCCUUUGAUACUGGUAGUCUUGAGUUCGGGAGAGGUGAGUGGAAUUCCGAGUGUAGAGGUGAAAUUCGUAGAUAUUCGGAGGAAUAACAGUGGCGAAGGCGGCUCACUGGCUCGAUACUGACGCUGAGGUGCGAAAGCGUGGGGAGCAAACAGG
rnacentral:rRNA from 1 species